UACGGGGGGGCAAGCGUUGUUCGGAAUUACUGGGCGUAAAGGGCUCGUAGGCGGCCAACUAAGUCGGAUGUGAAAUCCCCAGGCUUAACCUGGGAACUGCAUCCGAUACUGGAUGGCUUGAAUCCGGGAGAGGGAUGCAGAAUUCCAGGUGUAGCGGUGAAAUGCGUAGAUAUCUGGAGGAAUACCGGUGGCGAAGGCGGCAUCCUGGACCGGCAUUGACGCUGAUGAGCGAA
rnacentral:rRNA from 1 species